rnacentral:lncRNA from 1 species
GUUAAUAUUUCCCCCCGACAGACUCCAUUUGCUGGAAGAUCAUUGAAGAACUUUUUCUUGAGUCUGUACCUCCACUGCCUCUGUUGCGAGUUGAGCAUGUUAGUGCAUGCCUCUAUGAUAGGUUGACUGGUGGUGUCAAUGUCAAAGUAGACCUAUAUUAAGCACAACAUAUGAGUAGUCAGAAAAAUGGAUGAAAAGAAAGGAUGCAAAGAACUAUGCUAGUAGUUGAGUCGAUA